rnacentral:rRNA from 1 species
UACGUAGGGUGCAAGCGUUGUCCGGAAUUAUUGGGCGUAAAGAGCUCGUAGGCGGCUUGUCGCGUCGGCUGUGAAAACCUGGGGCUCAACCCCGGGCCUGCAGCCGAUACGGGCAAGCUAGAAUUCGGUAGGGGAGACUGGAAUUCCUGGUGUAGCGGUGAAAUGCGCAGAUAUCAGGAGGAACACCGGUGGCGAAGGCGGAUCUCUGGGCCUGUCCUGACGCUGAGGCGCGAAAGCUAGGGGAGCGAACAGG